CAGAGACAGAUGGCUAUGAACUUGGAAGCAGGCCCUCAUCAGACAGCAGAUCUCCUGGCACCUGCAUCUUAGACUCUCCAGACUUUCGAACCCAUGCAAAAUAAAGGUUUGUUGAUUGAUUUUGAGGUAACAAGAUGACAGAGUUUCAAAGAAACAUAAAUGGGGACUCCAGUUGAAUAUACAGGAUAUUUUCAUUCUAUCUGCCAUGUGUUAUAUGCCUGUUUUUAUGAAUUCAUUUUAUUUCUGUAUUCAUUUUAUAUUCUACAUUUUGCACCUGCCAAUUCCACUGUCUUAAGAGUUUGAGUAAGAUUGUUUCCUUGAGGCAAGAAAGAAAAGCAGAGGUCCUGACAAAUAAGAGGUAGCCUCAGGGGAAAGGAGCUACCGUCAACACUUAGAACUUCUUCCCUGAACUCAAUGAGAACCUUUGAAAGUAAAC